rnacentral:rRNA from 1 species
UACAGAGGUCCGAAGCGUUGUUCGGAUUCACGGGGCGUAAAGGGUGCGUAGGCGGUCGGGUAAGUCUGAUGUGAAAUCUCCAAGCCUAACUUGGAAACUGCGUUGGAUACUAUCCGGCUCGAGGAAUGGAGGGGAGACUGGAAUACUUGGUGUAGCAGUGAAAUGCGUAGAUAUCAAGUGGAACACCAGUGGCGAAGUCGAGUCCCUGGACAUUUCCUGACGCUGAGGCACGAAAGCCAGGGGAGCAAACGGG